GAUGAACGCUGGCGGCGUGCCUAAUACAUGCAAGUCGAGCGAACGGACGAGAAGCUUGCUUCUCUGAUGUUAGCGGCGGACGGGUGAGUAACACGUGGAUAACCUACCUAUAAGACUGGGAUAACUUCGGGAAACCGGAGCUAAUACCGGAUAAUAUUUUGAACCGCAUGGUUCAAAAGUGAAAGACGGUCCUGCUGUCACUUAUAGAUGGAUCCGCGCUGCAUUAGCUAGUUGGUAAGGUAACGGCUUACCAAGGCAACGAUGCAUAGCCGACCUGAGAGGGUGAUCGGCCACACUGGAACUGAGACACGGUCCAGACUCUUACGGGAGGCAGCAGUAGGGAAUCUUCCGCAAUGGGCGAAAGCCUGACGGAGCAACGCCGCGUGAGUGAUGAAGGUCUUCGGAUCGUAAAACUCUGUUAUUAGGGAAGAACAUAUGUGUAAGUAACUGUGCACAUCUUGACGGUACCUAAUCAGAAAGCCACGGCUAACUACGUG
rnacentral:rRNA from 1 species